UACAGAGGGUGCGAGCGUUAAUCGGAAUUACUGGGCGUAAAGGGCGCGUAGGCGGUUUGUUGGGUGUGAUGUGAAAGCCCUGGGCUUAACCUGGGAAGUGCAUCGCAAACUAACUAACUGGAGUAGAUGAGAGGGUGGCGGAAUUUCCGGUGUAGCGGUGAAAUGCGUAGAGAUCGGAAGGAACGUCGAUGGCGAAGGCAGCCACCUGGCAUCACACUGACGCUGAGGCGCGAAAGCGUGGGGAGCGAACAGG
rnacentral:rRNA from 1 species